AUGAACGCUGGCGGCGUGCCUAAUACCUUCCAGUCGCGCGAACAGACGAGGAGCUUGCUCCUCUGACGUUAGCGGCGGACGGGUGAGUAACACGUGGAUAACCUACCUAUAAGACUGGGAUAACUUCGGGAAACCGGAGCUAAUACCGGAUAAUAUAUUGAACCGCAUGGUUCAAUAGUGAAAGGCGGUUUUGCUGUCACUUAUAGAUGGAUCCGCGCCGCAUUAGCUAGUUGGUAAGGUAACGGCUUACCAAGGCAACGAUGCGUAGCCGACCUGAGAGGGUGAUCGGCCACACUGGAACUGAGACACGGUCCAGACUCCUACGGGAGGCAGCAGUAGGGAAUCUUCCGCAAUGGGCGAAAGCCUGACGGAGCAACGCCGCGUGAGUGAUGAAGGUCUUCGGAUCGUAAAACUCUGUUAUUAGGGAAGAACAAAUGUGUAAGUAACUAUGCACGUCUUGACGGUACCUAAUCAGAAAGCCACGGCUAACUACGUG
rnacentral:rRNA from 1 species